UCAAUAACUUCGAAGUAAUCAGGGAAUAUUUAAACAAUCUUGAUGAAAAAACACCAACGGUCGUUAAAGCUAAGGAGAUUAUAAAUGAUGAGUUUAUUCUUGAAAAAUUGUCAAUAAUUAAUCAUAAUCUCAACCCAAUUACCGAGGCCAUUGCCGUUUUAUAAGGAAGACUCUCUUUACUUGUUAGCUUGACUAUUGUCGAACAUUAACGGGUAAAUAUCAAGCAAAAGCAAUUCCAAACAAAAUUAAAUGCAUUUGUAGAUGAAAAUCCAGCGUACAACGAUUUGCGAGAUCUAGCAAAUUUUGAGAAGACAAUUUGCAGAAACACAGUUAUUGUAAAGUGUGACUUAGAAAGGACUUUUAGCAUAUUGAGAGUCAUUCAUACAAAAAUAAGAUCAUGUUUAUCAGUAAAAGGUGUCAGGAACAAGCUAAUUUUAGAAUGCAAUAAUGAAAUAUUAGAUUCGUUAGAGUAGGUAUUUAUCAAAUAACUUUUUUAAGAAUAAAUUACAUCUAUGUAUUCAUAAAUACAGUAAUAUGGUCAAGAACAACAGCAUGAAUGGUCUCAAAGGGGGUCUUAGCUUCAAAUGGCAUGCAAAUAGUUUGUCUAACAUUAGUUUCUUCGUGUAAAGACGUGGGAUUAGCAUAUAGCUAAAUGUUCAUAAUCUCCGAGAGAAGGUGUUAAGAGAACUAUAGUAAUAAAGUCCGAAACAAAAGCAUGAAUGGUACCAAAGGUGGUCUUAGCUUCAAAUGGCUUGCAAAUAUUUUGUUUUACAUGAGUUUCUUCGGGUUAAGAAUUGUAUAUGCUUCAUGGAUUCCAAUAUGUUGAACUUUACAAAUUACUUUGAUGACGAAAAAUGAGGAUUUUAGAUGGAAUUUGAAGUAUGAUAGGAAAAAGACGGAUUUUAUUUUUACUAAAAUUAGUAUAUUUUUUUCUGUAUAAAAAUGACUUAUUAUUUUUGUACAUUUAUAAUUUACAUUUUUCCCUACUAAAUUGUUGAAUCCAUUCGUCAUUUUAAUUUUAAUAACUUCAAUUUCGUUUCAUUUUCCUUAAUAAUUUGU
rnacentral:lncRNA from 1 species